rnacentral:lncRNA from 1 species
CUCUGGCGCUCAUUCACGGAUUUCGACGUUCCGGCCUAUUAUCGCAGCUCACUUAUCAAGAAUACUUCAAUUAACCUAUUGACACUACUUACGCGCUUCACGCUACACAUUAAUUUCUUUUAUUUUGUAUUACUCUUUUGCUAAUCAUUCAUAUUAACUCUUGUAUUCUUGGACGACCGACAGCCCUUUCCCUUCUUACUUUACGAGUCGAAUAUGCCUUCUUUUCUCUUUUCAUUUCUUUUUUUUGCGUACAGCCGUGCUCCAUUCCCUUUACAAAGCUCUUCCAUCUCAAUUUCAUCCCUUUGUUUUCUCUUGUCACCCGUCUUUCCGUCUUAGGGGGGAGGAGUUACAUAUUCUCCUCUAUGCUCUAUGCUCUAUUUACGUCACAAGCCGCUUCUCGACUUGUGACACUCAGCGUUUUGUCAGCCUUGCACUUGACUUUCAGGCAAGUCGCCAAGAUGCUGACCUGUCCCUUUUUGGUCCGGCGCGUGCUCGCCUUCUGCGACGCCCGCGUAUUUCCUCCGGCUAUAAAAGCUCGGAGCCACGGCUAGGCAUUCGUCUACCGUUUCAGUCACCCAUUCCGUGUGUCCCUGUCGGUUGUCCCGAUCCAUUUCUGUGAUUGUCGCAAUAAACUCUGUUUAUUUUGCCGUAUCUUCGUCUCCGGUCUAUCACCUGCUCCCACACUUCACAUAAAAGUACUUGUUGUACUCCUUAUGACUGUAAGAACUGUUUGGAAACAGUUCAUGCGAUGUUUCUCAUGAAUUCCUUGCCUAAAUGGCUAUGUUUCCAUGACAAUUAUGACUACCCUUUGGCUCAUGUAGAUCCCCAACGCUGUUACACAUGCUAUACUCAAUACUGCAUUAUGGUUUUAGAUGUCUACCCAUUUCAUGUCGAUAAUCUAUAGCCACCCCUCUUUCCCCUUCUUAGGAUGUUGAAUUAAUUUGUUAUGUGUAAACCUGACAACCUUAGUUAUAAGCAGUCUGUCUAAAGAAUGUGUUGAUGCUGAGAAUGGCAAUGUAACCAACUGCGAGACUCAAUAAAAGAUAUCCUACACCUCGACCCGUGAUCAUUUCUCUUUCCUUUUUCCUCAAUGAGCUAAAAUAACACUAUAGGUUAUGGAGCCCAGAGCUCUCGCCGGUUUUGCCGAUGUGAUGUAAGUGUUUUUCGUGAGUUUUCGGAAACUUCUAAAACAGGAAAUGAAAGACUCUUGUGAAAUUUCAAAUAAAAUAAGACCAAGAAUUUGCCCUCGCUCUGCCCGUCUUUGCUUCUCGUGAUGCAUUAUUCACUCGACCGCCUCUGUGCAACGUCUCAUCGCGAUUUUGUGAACUGUGGUGAAAAGAAUAAAAAUGGGUUUCUUCGACAGUAAUGAUGAAAAUACAGUGCAAAUAACGAACGACAUCGACAUUAACGACGUGAUUUUGUAUGUCCUAUAUCUACUGUUGGUAGGAAUACUGCUAAUGUUAUUCGUGAUAUCGAGGUGUAAAAAUUUGAAAGCGAGAAAUCGUGACGUGGAAUCUCAAUUGAGAGAAUUACAAAGCAUGAUAAGAAAUUAAAACCGAGUUCAAUGAAAUGAAAUAAAACUAAAGAAAACCGAAGAUUGAUUACUGUGCACAACAUAAAAUAAAAUAAAACGAAUAAAAUUAAAUUAUAUAAAAACGGUGACGGUGAUUAUCAGCGGACAAUUUGUUUAUUUCAAAUAAAAAUUAAAACGAAUAAAAUG